rnacentral:sRNA from 1 species
CAGAAAUACCAACAUAGCUAAAUAACCCUGCCUGCCUUUGAAGAGCUUAUAAUUUUGUAUCAGAAGAUGAAGCAGGCAGAAUGAUAUCUGUUGUAAGAAAGGUGCAGGAAAGUACUGUGGGGAAUUAAUGGAAGGAGAGAUAACAUUUUGUCGGGUAGAAGAAGUGAAAAAGCACCAACACUGUUUAGCAUUUAGCUCCUCUGGACCCCAAAGCCAGACUUACUACAUUUGCUUUGAUACUUUCACAGAAUACUUAAGGUGGCUGCGUCAAGUCUCCAAGCAUCUAGGGAGAGUAGACUAGAAUCUCACUCCAUUUGGGAAUAUAUGCCUACAGGGAAUUUGACAUGGAUAAGGCUGAUUGUUAUAAGCUCCUUCAGCUUCCAGUUUCCCCCUUCAAUUGUCAUCUGCUCUUCUUCCUAGGUUGCAUCCCAGCGCAUUAGCUCAGUGGACCUCUCAUGUUGUAGCCUGGAACAUCUGCCUGCCAACCUCUUCUACAGCCAAGACCUCACUCAUCUGAAUUUAAAACAAAACUUCCUAAGGCAAAACCCUAGCCUUCCAGCUGUCAGGGGGCUUAAUGAACUGCAAAGGUUCACCAAGUUGAAGAGUCUUAACCUUUCCAAUAAUCAUUUAGGGGACUUCCCACUGGCAGUCUGCAGUAUUCCAAC